rnacentral:misc_RNA from 1 species
CAGGCUUAGAUGGACUAAUUAUCUGAGACCUGAUAUUAAGAGAGGAAAGUUCAGUUUGCAAGAAGAACAAACCAUUAUUCAACUCCAUGCCCUCUUAGGCAACAGGUUAUAUUUAUAUUCCUUCUUUUAGCUCUUUUUCUUCAAAAAUCCUGAAUUAAUUCUAGCAUUCAGAGAUUUUGAAACAAGAUUGGAUUUCUGCUUUUACCUCAAGAAGAUGCAUUACUAGUUGGUCAUGUCUCUACUUUUACUGGUUUCAAGACAAAAAUAAAGUUCGUUCACUACAGGAACAAACUCCUGUUACUGUAAUCUGUUUUUGAUGUAAUGGGCAUCUCUUAAUUAAUUAAACUCAUCUACUAACUAACCCAUCACCUACAUACUACAUUUUGAACUAUAGUUUCAGCUGUUGAGCACAUAUUUACGGGUUUCUGACAUAUCCAAUCCGAUUUCAUUUAUUGCGUAUCUUUAAAUGCUUAGUAUAUAUUUGGAAAUUUUCUUCAAUACGACACAGAAAAUGAGGGGCUUUUGUUUUCCUUUAUCUUCCUAUUGUCCAUCCAGCAGCUGAUAUAUUGGGAUAGGUUUUAUUUUUCCCUUUUUUUUAUUUCUGUCUUUUCAGAAGCAUAGGAAAAAUGCUAGCUUGGGAUCGAUGGUUGAUCAUUUCUAGGGUAUUUAUCGUCUUAAAGAUCUGUCUCCAUUAUGUCUUUUGUUGGCUUGUCCUCAGGUGGUCGGCUAUAGCUACUCACUUGCCCAAAAGAACAGAUAAUGAGAUCAAGAAUCACUGGAAUACCCACAUCAAGAAAAAGCUGAUUAAGAUGGGAAUUGAUCCAGUUACACAUGAGCCUCUCCAUAAACAAGAAAACCCAGGAGCAGCAGCACCUUGUCACAACAUUAUGUAUGAUCAUCAACCCAAUUUUAAUGGUGAUCACCAACAGAUAUCAAACAAUAAUUGCGAACCCCAAGCCUCCUCCUCCUCGUCUAAUACCACCCCAACUGAAUCAUCAGACCCAAACAACGACGAUGAUCCUUUGAUGAGUUACAUAUUUUCAGACACUUAUCUUGAAGAUUCAACAUGGAAUUUUCCCAUCGCUAGAGAAGAAUAUUGUGAAUUUGGAAUGUCCUCACCAGAGGGUAACUCUCCAUGGUUUUUAGCUCAUAAUGAUAUUGGAGAUGACUACUUUGGACUUGGCCGUUUCAACGACGUGGACUUGAGUGUGCUAGACCAGCCGGAUGACAAACACUAACAAGGAACCAGGCCUUGGGGGCUUCGUCGUAAAUGGAAACUCAAUCUUCUUCCUGAUUUUCAACUUCUUAGACUUUGUUUUAUUUCCCUUCUUUUUUCCCCCACCAAACGCAUAAGUUUAGAUCCUGGAAAAGAUCAAUUUCACAAGAGAAAGGAAUUAAAUUUAAUUGAAACUGCUCAAAAUGAAACCCUUGGAAUGGAGACCUGUAAUUAGUAAAAGCCCCGAAGUUUUUUCAAGGAAAAAGUUAAGCUUCCGGUGAAGGAUGGGUUGGUAAGCUGUCAAGUAGCCCAAAUUGUGAAGAUAUCGUAUCAUCUGUCAUCAUUUAUCAUAAUCACACGCUUUUCCAAAGCAGUCCAAAAUCGAUCCUUAAAAAUACUUUAAAGCGUGUAGUUUUGUCUUUUGCUUAUGUUUGGUUGUAUAAUUACAAGAUUAUGUCCCUAAUCUACCAUGUGAGAGCUCAAAUACGUCUGUUAAUUAUCUUUAGCACCCCACUAUUAAAAGAGUUGAGUGGUGGAAGCAGAGGAAUCUGUCGGUAUGCAAAAUGAGAAUUCUACCGUAUAAGCAUGAUUAAUCUGAGUAUUGGAAAGCUUAUUU